rnacentral:rRNA from 1 species
UACGUAGGCGGCUCUGCAAGUUGGGUGUGAAAGCCCGGGGCUCAACCCCGGAACUGCAUUCAAAACUGUGGGGCUAGAGAUCGGAAGAGGUAAGUGGAAUUCCCAGUGUAGAGGUGAAAUUCGUAGAUAUUGGGAAGAACACCGGUGGCGAAGGCGACUUACUGGUCCGAUACUGACGCUGAGGUACGAAAGCAUGGGGAGCAAACA